rnacentral:rRNA from 1 species
GAUGAACGCUGGCGGCGUGCCUAAUACAUGCAAGUCGAGCGAACAGACGAGGAGCUUGCUCCUCUGACGUUAGCGGCGGACGGGUGAGUAACACGUGGAUAACCUACCUAUAAGACUGGGAUAACUUCGGGAAACCGGAGCUAAUACCGGAUAAUAUAUUGAACCGCAUGGUUCAAUAGUGAAAGACGGUUUUGCUGUCACUUAUAGAUGGAUCCGCGCCGCAUUAGCUAGUUGGUAAGGUAACGGCUUACCAAGGCAACGAUGCGUAGCCGACCUGAGAGGGUGAAGGGCCCCCCAGGAAAUGAGGCACGGCCAAAGUCCCAAGGGGAGGCAGAGGUGGGGAAUCUUGCGCAAGGGGGGAAAGCUUGAGGGGGAAAGGCCGGGGGGGUGAAGAAGGUUUUCGGCUCGUAAAACCUUUUUAUUAGGGAAAAAAAAAUGGUAAAGUAACUAAGCAGGUCUGGAGGGAACCAAAGCAAAAAGCCCGGCCAAAUUCCGG